GACGAACGCUGGCGGCGCGCCUAACACAUGCAAGUCGAACGAGCGAGAGAGAGCUUGCUUUCUCAAGCGAGUGGCGAACGGGUGAGUAACGCGUGAGGAACCUGCCUCAAAGAGGGGGACAACAGUUGGAAACGACUGCUAAUACCGCAUAAGCCCACAGGUCGGCAUCGACCAGAGGGAAAAGGAGCAAUCCGCUUUGAGAUGGCCUCGCGUCCGAUUAGCUAGUUGGGGAGGUAACGGCCCACCAAGGCAACGAUCGGUAGCCGGACUGAGAGGUUGAACGGCCACAUUGGGACUGAGACACGGCCCAGACUCCUACGGGAGGCAGCAGUGGGGAAUAUUGCACAAUGGGGGAAACCCUGAUGCAGCGACGCCGCGUGGAGGAAGAAGGUCUUCGGAUUGUAAACUCCUGUUGUUGAGGAAGAUAAUGACGGUACUCAACAAGGAAGUGACGGCUAACUACGUG
rnacentral:rRNA from 1 species